rnacentral:rRNA from 1 species
GACGAACGCUGGCGGCGUGCUUAACACAUGCAAGUCGAACGGAAAGGCCCUGCUUUUGUGGGGUGCUCGAGUGGCGAACGGGUGAGUAACACGUGAGUAACCUGCCCUUGACUUUGGGAUAACUUCAGGAAACUGGGGCUAAUACCGGAUAGGAGCUCCUGCUGCAGGGUGGGGGGUGGAGAGUUUCGGCGGUUGGGGAUGGACUCGCGGCUUAUCAGCUUGUUGGUGGGGUAGUGGCUUACCAAGGCUUUGACGGGUAGCCGGCCUGAGAGGGUGACCGGCCACACUGGGACUGAGAUACGGCCCAGACUCCUACGGGAGGCAGCAGUGGGGAAUAUUGCACAAUGGGCGGAAGCCUGAUGCAGCAACGCCGCGUGCGGGAUGACGGCCUUCGGGUUGUAAACCGCUUUCGCCUGUGACGAAGCGUGAGUGACGGUAAUGGGUAAAGAAGCACCGGCUAACUACGUG